AGUCGGGCCCGGAGCCCGGAAGGAGUGCCCCGCGGAGAGUCGAGCUUCCUUCCCCGGGGCUGGGGGUUCCGCGGAGCUCGCUCUGGGCUGUGGCGUUGCUCGCCCGCGAGCUCCUGGGGAGUUCGGGGGAGCUGCUGGGCUGGUGCCUGGAGCGGGGGCCGCCUCCAAGUAUUGUCUUUCGAAUUAAGUUACUGUCGUCUGUGUUGUCAGGCAACAACUGACCUUAAAUAAAAAUGAAAACCAGAAGUAGGCUACACAUGCAAUAGGCUACACAUGCAAUAAUGGAUACUUAAGGAAUGGGAGUGGCUGCUGGUGACUGGAGCAGAGAGGGUGUGGUUUCCCCAUGUUUCGGGGCCGGGGGGAAGGAGUAAAGUCUGUGUUCAGAGCCCAGACGCCAUGUCGGUCAUCACAUCACCGGGAGAACUCGUGGAGCCUGAGGAAAGGCUACGGGGUGCCAGAGUCUGAAGGGGCGGAAGAUUGCAUUCCUAUCACGUUCGCCGUGGCGCACAGGGGCUCCGCUGGGGCCGCCGCUCCCGCAGGAGAAGUGGGCCUGAGACGGUGCGGCGUCGACCAUAGCCGGCCCAGCAGAAGCCGGGGAAGGCCACAAGUGUAACUGGGUCCGAGUACUGUGAAGAAGGCGCCUCCCAUGGAGAAAGCUACCGGGUAGUUUAACAAGGUGGAAAAGCGUUGGCCUGGGGAGGAGGAAAGGAUGCUCAGAAAGUUGCCUCAAAAGGACGCAGAAGUGGAGGUGAAUCUUCUGUUUCAGAGGCAUUUUUUUGUGCCUCUGUGAGAAUGCAUUGCUUCCUGGUUGAUCCAUCUUCAGGUUUUCUCUCCGUCCUAGUCCCUGUUCUGCCACCAUUCUGUGUUUGAAUCUGGUACCUAAAGCCGCAGAUACUUGGUUCAUAGUAGAUGUCCACUCUGCAGUGGCUGAAAACACGGAAGAAAAACCAUCUUUGCCUGGGAAGGACAUUAUUGCUAGUGCCAUUACUGUCAACAGUUGGAACAAGAUAAACGGCAUGCCCAAUCUAGUUGAGGAUUUUGGACACCGGGCCUCCCACUGGGACUCCGCCGAGAAACCAGGUCUGCCAUUGCCACCUCCGCCGGGCCUUGCUGUCUUAGCACAGUAAGUGCACCCGACCGCGCCCGGAGUCCCCCUUUCACUCCCACAACCAGGCCUGUGGUGAGGCUCCCGCUUGUCAUCUCCACCAGGAGGUGCUGUCCUGCCGAAAUGUUGGGGUUUUUCUCCAAACUUCCUCCUGUUCAGAAUUCGCCAUCUCAGUAGUGGCAUGGACAUCCACCUGGCCACAGCUCACGCAGAAACCUAGGAAUUUUUGUGAACACGUUUGUGUGUCUUACUAAUGUGUCCACUCUCCACUACCACUGUUUCCCAGGCCACUAGUAUCUUUUGCCCAGACUGCUAGUAGCUCUUAACCCAUGUCCCCUAAUCCACUCUUGCCCCUCACACAGCACACACAUACAAUCCAUUCUCAACACAGACACCACAGUGAGGUUUAUGCUGUCUAUACUGGCCUUCCCUUUCGGUGGUCAAACGUGCCUAGCUCCUGCAGCCUUGGGGUCUAAUAAGCAUUUGCUCUUCCUUUUGCCUAAAAGGCUCUGGCCUCCCUCUGCCAUGCCAUUUCCUAUGCGCCUGUCAAACCUGAACCUGGUGGCCAGCUUCCCUAAACUAGCAAGCCUGAACCUCCCUGCUCUUCCAUGUCCGCAGGACCUCAUGCUCUGUUGAAGAUGUUAUAACAAUUAGAAUCUAAAUAAUUACGAAAGUUAUUUGUUUACCAUGUGGUUCCACCUCCAUGCUGUAAGGUAAUACCAUUUCUAUCUUCUCCGUUUUUGUAUCUCUAUCAGUUAGCACAGCGUCUUCCAUAUACAAAGUACUCAGUUAUUUACUAUGGAUGAACUGCUAAUUGUGAAACAGAAAUGACUUGCCAGAGGCUGCACAGCUAGUAACUGUUCAGGAUUAGAACUCAUAUGUGAUACCAAGGUCGAUGCAUUCUCCACUACACCAAUCAGAUCAUAGUAGAAUCAUGAGGAAUUUUUCACUUGAACAUAUGAACUCAGCAAAAGGGAACUGUUGAUAAUAAAGAUGAGCCCCUGCAGAAAGGGUCUCUUAAGUCCUC
rnacentral:lncRNA from 1 species